rnacentral:lncRNA from 1 species
UGAGUUUUUAAACAUUUAUUUUCUCUCCCCUUUCUUUGGGGGCACUCUCCCCUUUAGGAUCUGGCCUGGACUUAGGCUACGAGAACUUGUUGACAAGUGAAAGCUUGGUAGAACCGCGGCCCGGUUUGUGUGUUUGUUUAUUUUUUACAAAGUGACUUCAUAUUUACUCUGGACCUCGUCUGUGCCCUUUGGGGGGACAUCGGCUCUGAUCAGCGCGCCAGCAGCCGCCGUCCGAGCUGCGGGGAAACGGGGCGCGCCCUCUGGGGGGCGAGUGGCAGUGUCCGAGCUAAUUUCCUCCGUAACCUUUAAACUCUCGCUGGAAGCCGUGGCGGCGGUUGAUCACGUGAGGCGAGCCCUGGGCUGCUGGGGAAGAAUUUCCUCCGCGGGGAGCCGGGGACGGGGACGGCUGCCUGGCGAGGGACGGCCCCGCGCCAGGGGACGCGAACCUGCGCGGGCGGGGCCGAGAGCGCGGAGGCCCGGGGCGCGGCCCGGGCCGGACUCCCCGGGGGACUGCGCAGGAAGAGGUCGUCUCUGCAACCUGCGAGCGGGGGUCUUUGAAGAUAUAAUGAAGUUCAAGAUCUUGAGAAGAGAUCAUUCUGGAUCACCCGGGUGGGCUAAAUCCAAAGACAAUACAAUGAAUAUACAGUGAAGCAGAUGGAGAUGGACACAGACACAGAGGAGAAGGCGAUGUAAAGACAGAGGCGAAGACUGGAGUGAUGAGGCCACAAGCCAAGGAAGCCAAAGAAUGUCGACAGCCCCCAGAAGCUGGAAGAGACUAGGAAAGGUUCUCCCCUGGAGCCUCCACAGAGAAUGAGGUCCUGUUGACAUCUUGACUUCAGACUUCUGGCUUCCAGAACUGCAGCAGCAGAAUGCCUUUGGAGUCCCUGGAAAGGAGCAAUCAGCCCUCUGAUAAAAUGGGUCUGGGCUAACUGUUUUUGAAGAAAUGCCACUCUGAAUAUGAAAUGACACAGAGCUUUAACAUGGCUCACUGGAGACCUGAGCUGCUCAAUUGCCCUGGGACCACAGAUCACUUGGAAAUGAAAAGAUAAUGAGAGUAGUUGCCCACUUCGGGCUUUGGGACUUGUUUCAACCAAGGUCUGGUGACUAGUACAGGAAAGGAAACUGUCCAACUGUCCAAUUUUCAAGUUAAGCAACCUCAUGCUUAUUCCUUCAGUUAAUAAGCUUGGUUAUCUAGAAAAUUGUUCUGGGAAUAAACAUUAAGACU